rnacentral:lncRNA from 1 species
UGCAUUACAGUAACAUAGUUUUUCUGUUUUAAAUCUUACUUCUCUUUUAAGUGUUCAUAUUUAUCUUGGAUUUGAUUAAAAACCAGAUCCUUUUACGUAUUUGAUCCAAAUCCAUGGAUUCAAAAUGCAUAAAUCAAAAGAAAACACUAAACGGUUAUCUAAUUCUUACUCAUUGAUUGAAACUUAUAAUUGCAUCAAAUCAUUGAUACCAUUGCUGAGCUUCUGUAGAUAUCUCAGUUCUUCAUUUUCCUUUCCUUCAAAUUUUGGAUGCGGCUAAUGACAAAAGGGGGGAAAUUCUAACUUUGGCAUUGUUUUUUUUUUUCUUUUUGGUCCUUUUUAAUUUUGUUAACAAGUGUGGACAGUUUAGCGAGGGAGAAUGGAGAUGUAUGACUGAAUACCCUUACCCCAAUAAAAAAAAAAAGGAAAGAAACUACAUAGUUAUCUCAAAUGGCAAAAAGAAGAAUUACGAAACUUUAAACUAGUCCUGAUAUUUGUGGCAAUUUAUGUCCAUGUUUACAAUUUUUACAUACAUGCCAUUGCCUAAUUUCUGUCCCACUGAAGUUAGGUAGGAGGGUGGAGAGUUAACUAAUUGUGUUCCGCGCGCAUGUUAAACCUUGGUUGAGUUAUGUGAUGGAGAAUAGUCAAUGGUGCAAGGUGACAUCUGUUUGCUUAUGGCACUAUGUGAAUUUCACAUUGACAAAUGGCGUGAAAUUGUUAACAUUUGUCUAUUACAUAAACUUUAUGAUCAAUUGGAAAUGUUGAGUUUCUUUUCUUCACUUAAGUGCAGUGUUCCUUAUUUUGUUGUAAUGUUGUGAGGGACAAAGAGACAGGGUUUUUGUUGAAUAUGAGAUAUUAAUAGUAGGACAAUGCAUUAACACUUGUGAAACCAAGGAGAAAAGCAAACAGGGGUAAUGAUGAGUCCAAAAUGAUUGUCAUUUUUAUUAUAGCAUUCUCUUCCUGCUCAUCUUCGUCCUUUUGCUUCAAAGUGCAAGCCAAGCAGCGAUAGCAGAUGGUGCAGCAGCGCAGCAAGGGGUGUUGG